UAAUUCAAUCAUUCAAUCAUACAACAUCCCAGACGAGCUAUGAAUAUGGAAUCAUGUCAAAACUAAAUACUCAUUUAUAUAUAUUUUGAUCAGAAGAUGAUGAUUCAGUUGAUGAUAUAUUAGAAAUCUCUUUCUAAUUAUCAUCCUGCUUUGAUCAAAAUUUUUUUGAAUCAUUAAUUUGUGAGAUCAUAUAGGAUGUUCACUCUCCUUAUCAGGAGUGAUUGAUUCUUUAUUGACCACUCACAAUCUUCAUGUAUAUUUUAUCAUAUCCAAAACAUCUCCCACA
rnacentral:lncRNA from 1 species